UACGGAGGGAGCGAGCGUUGUUCGGAAUCACUGGGCGUAAAGCGUACGUAGGCGGUCUUGCAAGUCAGGAGUGAAAGCCCAGGGCUUAACCUUGGAAUUGCUUUUGAAACUGCAAGACUAGAGUCCCGGAGAGGUUGGCGGAAUUCCGAGUGUAGAGGUGAAAUUCGCAGAUAUUCGGAGGAACACCAGUGGCGAAAGCGGCCAACUGGACGGGUACUGACGCUGAGGUACGAAAGCGUGGGGAGCAAACAGG
rnacentral:rRNA from 1 species